UUAGAUACCCUGGUAGUCCACGCUGUAAACGAUGUCGAUUUGGAGGUUGUGCCCUUGAGGCGUGGCUUCCGGAGCUAACGCGUUAAAUCGACCGCCUGGGGAGUACGGCCGCAAGGUUAAAACUCAAAUGAAUUGACGGGGGCCCGCACAAGCGGUGGAGCAUGUGGUUUAAUUCGAUGCAACGCGAAGAACCUUACCUACUCUUGACAUCCAGAGAAUUUGCUAGAGAUAGCUUAGUGCCUUCGGGAACUCUGAGACAGGUGCUGCAUGGCUGUCGUCAGCUCGUGUUGUGAAAUGUUGGGUUAAGUCCCGCAACGAGCGCAACCCUUAUCCUUUGUUGCCAGCGAUUCGGUCGGGAACUCAAAGGAGACUGCCGGUGAUAAACCGGAGGAAGGUGGGGAUGACGUCAAGUCAUCAUGGCCCUUACGAGUAGGGCUACACACGUGCUACAAUGGCGUAUACAAAGAGAAGCGACCUCGCGAGAGCAAGCGGACCUCAUAAAGUACGUCGUAGUCCGGAUUGGAGUCUGCAACUCGACUCCAUGAAGUCGGAAUCGCUAGUAAUCGUAGAUCAGAAUGCUACGGUGAAUACGUUCCCGGGCCUUGUACACACCGCCCGUCACACCAUGGGAGUGGGUUGCAAAAGAAGUAGGUAGCUUAACCUUCGGGAGGGCGCUUACCACUUUGUGAUUCAUGACUGGGGUGAAGUCGUAACAAGGUA
rnacentral:rRNA from 1 species